GCUGAAAUAAGGACACCGGGGCCUCUUUGGACAAAUUUCGUGUGGAGGCUGGACACGUGGGGGCCACACCCACAUGCCGCCUUUUACCCAGGCGAGUCUCAAAGCACUUGUCCAGCCAGGCUGAUUGAUAGCUCUGCAGUGGCCCUGUUUACCACCAGAGUGAGGCACAGCAGCUGGCUGACAACCCUUCGAUUGACCCUGGUCAGCACUUUCAAGCUUCUCAGCUGCCUCGAGGCAAAUAGCUUCCUCCAACGUGCUCCCUGCUCCCGUGCUUCCGUCAGGGUGUACUUCCUUAACACACAGUGGGACGAACUGGCAAGCUGGCCGUGGACUGUGAGUCAAAAGAAACCUUCCCUCCUUUUAAGUGGGAUCAGCUCCUGGUGCCCUCCUCCACGUCACUCCUGAAAGGAAGAAAACAGAGCUGAAGUGGACUUCACAAUGGAGCUGACACACAUUCGGCCAAGCAAAGUUGGGAGUAGCAGAAUCCCAUGUUGACUUGAUUGUUUUCGUCUUCUUUUUUUUAAAGUGUGGUGUGUGUGUGUGUGUGUGUGUGUGUGUGUGUGUGUGUGUGUGAUAUGAACAUGUGUGUUGUGGUGGUUUAAAUAUGCUUGGCCCAUAGGGAGUGGCACUAUUAGGAGGCAUGGCCUUGUUGGAGGAAGUGUGUCACUGUGGGGGUGGGAUUUGGAGGUCUCCUCCUAGGCUCAGGCUCCACCCAUUGCAGAAGGGAGCUUCCUCCUAGUUGCCUGAGGAUGCCAGUAUCUCCUGGUUGCCUUCAAAUCAAAAUGCAGAACUCUGCUCCCUCUCCAGCACCAUGUCUGCCUGCAUGCUGCCAGUGCUUUCUGCUGUGAUGAUAACGGACUAAACCUUUUCAACCAUAAGCCACCUCCAAUUAAAUAUUUGCCUUUAGAAGA
rnacentral:lncRNA from 1 species